GUUCGUGUAGUGUAGUGGUUAUCACGCCGGUUUCACACCUCCCUAGGAGGGAAUACACCGGAUGUCCUGAGUUCGAACCUCAGCGCGGACA